CAACCUCAACUCAUAUGGGACUACCCCCUGAAUUUAAGCAUAUUAAUUAGGGGAGGAAAAGAAACUAACAAGGAUUUUCUUAGUAGCGGCGAGCGAAAAGAAAACAGUUCAGCACUAAGUCACUUUGUCUAUAUGGCAAAUGUGAGAUGCAGUGUAUGGAGCGUCAAUAUUCUAGUAUGAGAAAUUAAUGAUUUAAGUCCUUCUUAAAUGAGGCCAUUUACCCAUAGAGGGUGCCAGGCCCGUAUAACGUUAAUGAUUGCUAGAUGAUGUUUCCAAAGAGUCGUGUUGCUUGAUAGUGCAGCACUAAGUGGGUGGUAAACUCCAUCUAAAACUAAAUAUAACCAUGAGACCGAUAGUAAACAAGUACCGUGAGGGAAAGUUGAAAAGAACUCUGAAUAGAGAGUUAAACAGUACGUGAAACUGCUUAGAGGUUAAGCCCGAUGAACCUGAAUAUCCGUUAUGGAAAAUUCAUCAUUAAAAUUGUAAUAUUUAAAUAAUAUUAUUAAGAAUAAUGUGCAUUUUUUCCAUAUAAGGACAUUGUAAUCUAUUAGCAUAUCCCAAAUUUAUCAUAAAAUAUAACUUAUAGUUUAUUCCAAUUAAAUUGCUUGCAUUUUAACACAGAAUAAAUGUUAUUAAUUUGAUAAAGUGCUGAUAGAUUUAUAUUAUUACAGAGCGUUAAUUUUUCGGAAUUAUAUAAUGGCAUAAUUAUCAUUGAUUUUUGUGUUUAUUAUAUGCUCUUGUAUGAUUAACAAUGCGAAAGAUUCAGGAUACCUUCGGGACCCGUCUUGAAACACGGACCAAGGAGUCUAACAUAUGUGCAAGUUAUUGGGAUGUAAACCUAAUAGCGUAAUUAACUUGACUAAUAAUGGGAUUAGUUUUUUAGCUAUUUAUAGCUAAUUAACACAAUCCCGGGGCGUUCUAUAUAGUUAUGUAUAAUGUAUAUUUAUAUUAUUUAUGCCUCUAACUGGAACGUACCUUGAGCAUAUAUGCUGUGACCCGAAAGAUGGUGAACUAUACUUGAUCAGGUUGAAGUCAGGGGAAACCCUGAUGGAAGACCGAAACAGUUCUGACGUGCAAAUCGAUUGUCAGAAUUGAGUAUAGGGGCGAAAGACCAAUCGAACCAUCUAGUAGCUGGUUCCUUCCGAAGUUUCCCUCAGGAUAGCUGGUGCAUUUUAAUAUUAUAUAAAAUAAUCUUAUCUGGUAAAGCGAAUGAUUAGAGGCCUUAGGGUCGAAACGAUCUUAACCUAUUCUCAAACUUUAAAUGGGUAAGAACCUUAACUUUCUUGAUAUGAAGUUCAAGGUUAUGAUAUAAUGUGCCCAGUGGGCCACUUUUGGUAAGCAGAACUGGCGCUGUGGGAUGAACCAAACGUAAUGUUACGGUGCCCAAAUUAACAACUCAUGCAGAUACCAUGAAAGGCGUUGGUUGCUUAAAACAGCAGGACGGUGAUCAUGGAAGUCGAAAUCCGCUAAGGAGUGUGUAACAACUCACCUGCCGAAGCAACUAGCCCUUAAAAUGGAUGGCGCUUAAGUUGUAUACCUAUACAUUACCGCUAAAGUAGAUGAUUUAUAUUACUUGUGAUAUAAAUUUUGAAACUUUAGUGAGUAGGAAGGUACAAUGGUAUGCGUAGAAGUGUUUGGCGUAAGCCUGCAUGGAGCUGCCAUUGGUACAGAUCUUGGUGGUAGUAGCAAAUAAUCGAAUGAGACCUUGGAGGACUGAAGUGGAGAAGGGUUUCGUGUGAACAGUGGUUGAUCACGAGUUAGUCGGUCCUAAGUUCAAGGCGAAAGCCGAAAAUUUUCAAGUAAAACAAAAAUGCCUAACUAUAUAAACAAAGCGAAUAUAAUACACUUGAAUAAUUUUGAACGAAAGGGAAUACGGUUCCAAUUCCGUAACCUGUUGAGUAUCCGUUUGUUAUUAAAUAUGGGCCUCGUGCUCAUCCUGGCAACAGGAACGACCAUAAAGAAGCCGUCGAGAGAUAUCGGAAGAGUUUUCUUUUCUGUUUUAUAGCCGUACUACCAUGGAAGUCUUUCGCAGAGAGAUAUGGUAGAUGGGCUAGAAGAGCAUGACAUAUACUGUUGUGUCGAUAUUUUCUCCUCGGACCUUGAAAAUUUAUGGUGGGGACACGCAAACUUCUCAACAGGCCGUACCAAUAUCCGCAGCUGGUCUCCAAGGUGAAGAGUCUCUAGUCGAUAGAAUAAUGUAGGUAAGGGAAGUCGGCAAAUUAGAUCCGUAACUUCGGGAUAAGGAUUGGCUCUGAAGAUUGAGAUAGUCGGGCUUGAUUGGGAAACAAUAACAUGGUUUAUGUGCUCGUUCUGGGUAAAUAGAGUUUCUAGCAUUUAUGUUAGUUACUUGUUCCCCGGAUAGUUUAGUUACGUAGCCAAUUGUGGAACUUUCUUGCUAAAAUUUUUAAGAAUACUAUUUGGGUUAAACCAAUUAGUUCUUAUCAAUUAUAACGAUUAUCAAUUAACAAUCAAUUCAGAACUGGCACGGACUUGGGGAAUC
rnacentral:rRNA from 11 species